CUAUAUAAAUUGCUAUGAAAUAAAGUAGACUGUCCAAGUUUACUUAGCCAAAUCAAUUUCAGAGUGCCGCGUAGAUAUCCACGCGCUGCCAUAACUCCCUUAGUGCCACCACUCAGUAGAACAGUCUUUGGUGCCAACGCUACUCUGCCCCGGUUGUGUAAACUAUACAACGAGCGUAGUCGGUCGAUAGACAUAAAUACAAAUUCGCUCGCUAUGUUUCGCAAGCUAGUGAUAAGCGACCUAGUCAAAUAGCUGUACACGAAACUGAACAUAUAUAUUAUAGUGUAAAUAAGGUAUUAAUUUAUUUUUGUAUUCUUAAAAUUAAUGAAUUUAUAUUUUAACUUUUCAUAUUGUUA